AUAUCAAUAAGCGGAGGAAAAGAAACCAACAGGGAUUGCCCUAGUAACGGCGAGUGAAGCGGCAAAAGCUCAAAUUUGAAAUCUGGCUUCGGCCCGAAUUGUAAUUUGGAGAGGAAAGUUCGGCAAUGCAUUUGGUCCAAGUCUUCUGGAACGAAGCGUCUUGGAGGGUGAGAACCCCGUAUGUGGCUGGAAUGCAGAGCUAUGUGACUUCCUUCGAAGAGUCGAGUUGUUUGGGAAUGCAGCUCAAAAUGGGUGGUAAAUUCCAUCUAAAGCUAAAUAUUGGCCAGAGACCGAUAGCGCACAAGUA
rnacentral:rRNA from 1 species